rnacentral:snoRNA from 1 species
AGUCCGUGUUAGGGACAUUGGCAAAGUAAACCCUUGUAUCAUUCCCAAACCUCAUAAUAGCAUUAUGAGUCCAUUUGUUGAAAAGCGGUGAUCCCGUCCCUUAGCUU